UACGUAGGGUGCGAGCGUUAAUCGGAAUUACCGGGCUUAAAGGGUGCGUAGGCCGGCCCGCAAGUGACUUGUGAAAUCCCCCGGCUCAACCGGGGAACAGCUCGUCAUACUGCGGGUCUUGAGGAAGGUAGGGGUUGCCAGAACUGUAGGUGGAGCGGUGAAAUGCGUAGAUAUCUACAGGAAUGCCGAUGGUGAAGACGGGCAACUGGGCCUUUCCUGACGCUGAGGCACGAAAGCGUGGGGAGCAAACAGG
rnacentral:rRNA from 1 species